rnacentral:lncRNA from 1 species
UGCUUUAAUCCCGAGUUUCAUCUUUAUCUCCCUAUGAGAGCUACCUAGCCCACAACCCAAUAACGGAGUUUGUAGCCGAGCAACCAACAGCAAAUGAGCAAGCAACAGCAAAUGAUCACUUUUCAUCUAACGGAGUGGAAAGCUUAGCAGUAGCUCCGCGUUCCAGUUGAAGAAGCCGUUAGAGAAUCCGCUUUGCGAGUUUAAUCGUGAGUGUAAUCGUAUAUCAAUAUCAAAUGCGGAAUGCUUAGGCUAACCACUAUAGGCUCUGGCUCUAACAGGUUAUUUUCGCCCGAGAUACCCGAUUGCAUCUUACUUUAACACUAAUACUCUACUUUUCGAAUGGAUUGCAGCAACAGAACUCGGAGACUUCACUCGAACUGCGGAUUAAGUUGCUGAAGAUACUUCUCUAGAUCUGGCUUCUGUUGAUUCAUAUCUAGUGCCAUAUACUGGUUUCAGAUCUCUCAUAUCUAGCCCCAUAUACUGGUUUCAGAUCUCUCAUAUCUAGCCCCAUAUACUGGUUUCAGAUCUCUCAUAUCUAGCCCCAUAUACUGGUUUCAGAUCUCAAGUGCUGGGCGCCCCCUGCCUGUUGCUAAUACAACUUACUAUACUAGCUCCGUUAAGCUGUCAACCCAUACUUUCCUUUGUAGUGACCGGUAAGACCUCUAGAACAACAUUAUCACACGUCACAGAUGGAUUGUCUUACUUAGAUUAUAGGCUUCCCGCUGCUGUAGCUCCGGCCUGUUCCAGUUUCUUCUGUGUUUGUUGUCUACUUUUCUCCUAUAGACAUAAUUUCAUGAUCAACUGCUGAAGCACUAAGUUAAUAAGUGAAAUCAGAUCAGUCUUUACAUGAUUCUAGCAGUGGUGCAAGAUAGAGAGCAAAUCCAAAUGAAACAAUACGAGUUGACCUCGAGGCAAGAGAUGGCUCUUAGCACCUUAUUUGUUUACCACUCAGAGAUGGCUCUUAGCACCUUAUUUGUUUACCACUAUAAUCAAUGGAGCGUAUAAGAAAGAGAAGAAGCUUGAGAAUAUACUUAAUAUACUGUUAGGCACUUUCAAAACCUAUAUCCCAGGUGCUCGAUAGGAGAGAGGAGAUAUUCUAUUAAUACUUUAGAGUGGAGAGAAUCCGCUGUUUCACAAGAUAGAAAGAUGCAAGCCGUUCUUCACGUAUAGUUUACCAAGGCUUAAACGCGGCUUAUUGCCCCGCUUACGCUUCAGUGAGUCGAAGUAGCUUUCUCUGUGAUUGUCCCGCUCGCUAGAGCUCAAAGGUGAGAGUAGAGUUUAGUCAGAUUUCCAGGUUGUCGGUUCAUAACUUCAAUAAUAGGUUGGCAUUGGCAAAAGGGGAAGUAGUUGUAGCUUGGCUGAUAGCAAUGAUUCACUUCAAGUCGAGUUCCAGAAGCCGAAUCUAAUGCUUACUUACAGAGCAGUAAAGUCUCCACUCCUGGCAAAAUACGGACUUGCUCAUAACUCUAGAACACUGGAGGGGAACUCUACGCCUAGGUCUUAUGGAAGCAGCUCUAUUAUAUUAUUUGAUUAGAAUGAGAAUUCUCACCCUAACCUCAGGCUAUAGUAGUUCUGGUUUUCCUCUGGAGUUUUCUACCUUUAUUCGGCUCUCUUCUCUUUACUACCUUCUCCUCGACCUCUUACCUAUGGCAACAGGCAACUAUUCUCUAUGUUGCUUCUAUCUUUCUCAACUAAAUCCUUAAUAAGAUAAUCAUGAAUUCAGUAGGGGCCAAGCCUACAAAAGAGAUAGAUUGUAUCAUUGCUUAACACAAGCACUUAAGCAUACCCGAACCUAGUAUUGGUUUCACUCAACAAGCAACUACUAAUGACCAAGCCACUACUAACCAAACAACGGCGCAAGACGUUGAGCGGUAGCAAUAG